rnacentral:rRNA from 1 species
UGGGGAGUAUUGGACAAUGGGCGAAAGCCUGAUCCAGCCACGCCGCAUGAGUGAAGAAGGCCUUUGGGUUGUAAAGCUCUUUUAGUGAGGAAGAUAAUGACGGUACUCACAGAAGAAGUCCUGGCUAACUCCGUGCCAGCAGCCGCGGUAAUACGGAGAGGGCUAGCGUUAUUCGGAAUUAUUGGGCGUAAAGGGCGCGUAGGCUGGUUAGUAAGUUAAAAGUGAAAUCCCGAGGCUUAACCUUGGAACUGCUUUUAAAACUGCUAACCUAGAGAUUGAAAGAGGAUAGAGGAAUUCCUAGUGUAGAGGUGAAAUUCGUAAAUAUUAGGAGGAACACCAGUGGCGAAGGCGUCUAUCUGGUUCAAAUCUGACGCUGAGGCGCGAAGGCGUGGGGAGCAAACA